ACCGUCAUAUCACUGGAGCAGCACCUCAUAAAGCAAACAGACAAACACUGCUGAACAGAGCUCUGAUAGAAGGAAUUGGACUUGAUCCUUAUGGGUUCCAUCCAACUUGGGAUACUCUAUGAUUCACAGGAGGUCAAACUGUAGGUACAGUACUGUAGGAGGAAGACAGGUAAGGAAAACUUCAUUAUGUGCAUUCUUAUUUGUUCCUACAUCUGGCACAGGAAAGAAAUGGUGUCUUGAAGCUACUUCAGUGCUGGGGCUGCUGGUAGAGCCUUGUCCCAAAAAGAGGACAGAAUGAUCUUUACAGGAAAGGGAAGAGUGAAACAAGGUAAACUAACUGGUUGGAGAACAUUUUAUAUCCUUUGGAAACCAACAAGAUUCAUUUCAUUUCCUCUGCAGUGCCUCUGCUCGACGUGGGAUUGCUGCCAACUAUGACAUCUCCCCUAGGAUCAACAACACAGAGACCAGGAAUAACCAACAGCUGGACUCAUUCAGGCCUUCCUUUCAGGAAAAAAAUUACACUGUGAUUAAUGAGCAAAGCAGAGGGCAGAAAGCGAGGCGUUGGGGGUGCUCCAGGGAAAGGCUGGGCUCCCAUGCCUGUCCCUAUGGCCAUUCCCCACCCAUGUUGGAUGUCCUCCAAAGUCGAGGUUGUUCCCCAUUGCUGUGGUGGUGGCACUGGGGACAGAGGAGGAACAGGGGUGUGGAUGGACACAGAUCCCCUCUCAGUGCAGGGGUCCCUGGGCAGGGAGCUAAAGCUCAGUGCCUACAGUGGUGUAGGGCAGGCAGUGCAGGCAAGAGCCCAUUUUCGCUGCAGAGCUGUAAUAAUGUGUUCCAGGGCUGUUUUCAUGUGGAACAAUCCUCUCUGAGCUAUAAUUACACUCAGUCGCCCCAGAAAAUCAGCAGAAACUCUAAUCCUUUCAGCUGUGUGAGUACAAUGCAAGCAGGCACGUGGCCAGUACACACUGCUGCUGCCAAUCCUGCUAGCCCACCGCACUGACAGCACCAAGCCCCCAACCAUCUCCUUCUUUUUGGAGACCUCAGCAUGCACCCAUGCAAUCAUAGAAUCAUUGAAUCAUAGAGUCAUAGAAUCAAUAAGACUGGAAAAGACCUCUAAGAUCAUCUAGUCCAAUCCAUCACCACAAUGGCCACUAAACCAUGUCCCUCAGUGUCACACCUACAUGUUUCUUGAAAACCGAGGUCCCAUCAUUACAUACCAAGAGCACAACCAGGGUGAGGGGAGAUGGUGUUGGGCUGUGAUUGCCUGCAGGAGGCCCUGCAGGUUGGGGCCUGCAUGUAGCUGCAGCAUCCUGGAGCAGCGUGAGGCUUCCCCCAGUCACCAGAGAACCCCAGGUGGGGUGGGCAGGGCAAGAAGGCCUUGCUGGCCCCAUGCCAGGGAGCAGGGCACUUGCUGAGGUGUCCCAAUAUCUCAUUUGUUCAUUUGCCACACCCGUGGGUGAGGAAAACGGUAUUGUUCCUGGUUAUUCUGAGAUCGAUGCUAACCAGCAUGGCGUGAGGGGCAGACAAAAGCAAUGAUGCACAAAGGAAAAAAAUUACCCAGGACUCAAUUCAGAAGGAUAGGGGUGGAGACCCCUCUGCUUUACCUGCUCGUGCUGGGACAAAACUGCGGAUGCCACCUUGAUGCUCAGUGAGAAGGUGCCAGGGCUGCCAUCUUUCUUACAGCUCCAGGGCACCCCGCAAACACCACUUGCCUUCCUGGUGGAUCUGCAUAGCUUCAGAAUCCACCUGCCCCUGGACAUCCUCUCAGAAGGCAGAAUUUACCCAUUUUCCCAGGAGCUACUUAAUGGGAGGAGAUUGCAGCUUAUGGUUGAGAUGAGCAUUGCUUCACCUCCUCAGGGCUCCAAUGGAUAUGCCUCCACUAUACAGACUGAUUGCAAAUCUGCCUCCCUACCCUCAGGUGCCUAUUUCACCACUUCCUGGAAGCACCCCACUGCAGUCAUUGGCACCACACUGCACCUGAAACUGAAAGUUCAGCAGAAUCAAAGUGUACCUCUCCGUGGUGGUUGCUGAUGGAGAUCAUUGGAGCAUGCAGGGGGUCCUGACUCACUUUUGGACUCCAGGAAGAGCUGAAGCAAAGUUUCAAGAGCACCAGAGCAGAGCUCGGAUGAGAUGAAACAUCUCCUGGUGAAUAAGCAGCGGGAUUCAGAACCUUGUGGGGAGGCAAAGGAUGAGGCUAGGGCUGACAGCAUCACAGCUGCAGCAGAAGGCUCACAGGGAUGUGGGCUCUGCAGCUGGGAUCAGGAAUUUUGCAGAAGAAGAAUCCGUGCAUCAACGUGAAGGAUGUUGUGAGCCCCUUGUGAGACCAUGAGUGGGCUGACAGCAGCUAUGGCUGCAGUGCUGAGCUGUGAGCACAUCAGUGCAGGAGGUGCUGUUUUUGCUACAAAAAGACUGCGUAAUUUUUCCAGAUUGCUUGGUGCUGCUUUUUUUUUUUUUUUUGAUCACAAAGAAAAAUUUCAAUAAUUUUCAAAGGGCACAAUAAAGAGCAAAAACCACCUUCUUUUUUAAUUUUUUUUUUUUUUUUUUUUGGUAUGAGCAAUCUAAAAAUAAAUCUAAU
ensembl:lncRNA